CCGACCAACGGCUGAGAUCCCACGAACCUAACCCGUAAUCAUUACCCGAUCCGAUACCCGGUUCAACCCGUCCCCCCAGCUUAAACCAAACGACAUCAUUUGGUUAAGUGGAUAAAUCCUGACCUUUCAUUCUACUAGAUCUAACGGUCAGCAUCAACCCACCCCGUCCCUAUAUAAGUCCAAACCCCUACCCCGGCCCCCUAACUUAACACCCCCCCUCUCCACUGUUCAUCAUCGUCUUCCUCAAACAAACCCCUAACCCUAGCCGCCCUAACAUCCCCACCGCCUGAAACCCGGCGGCAACAACGCCGCCGGUCACCAAAAUAACACCCCAGAACCCCAUGAACACCCUCUAUCCGAAUAUGUUAUCCGCUUGGCUCGAAUCUCCCUGAAGGUUCUCGAAUCUUCAUUUGAAGAUUCGAGCCAAGCUCAGAUCUAAACCAAACAGCCCCUAGUUAACACCAUAGCACCCCCUAGCAUGCCUCGUUAUGGAUCUAGUGUUGGUUUGGUUCGAAUCCCCUCAGAACUCUUCGAAUCUUCUUUUGAAGGUUCGAAUCAAAAAUGAAUUCACUCAGAUCCCGUUCAAAUUAACACCAAAUCACCCUUAGGCUUCCCUCACCCUUGUGUCAUCAUUGGUUUGAUUCGAAUCUACCCAGAAGUGUUCGGAUUUAAAAUUCAAGAUCUGAAACCCUAAAUUUUCCAAGAUUGGAAUCUUUUUCAAUUCAGACGAAAGAUUGAGGUUUAAUCGACCUUAGUCAAAGUAUUUUCAGUUGAAAAUACUUCGACUAAGGUCUGUUUGAUUUCAAAAAGCCCGAACCCAAGUUGAGUUUGAGUCCGGUUGAAUUUGAAGGUUCAGAGGUAAUUUUUCUGUUUCUUAUGUGUAUUCUACAUGUAUUCUAUGUUUGUUUCAUUAGUCUGUUUAAUUUUUCAUAAUUUUCUAGUCAAUUUUGUUAUACUGUCUCAUACUCGUCUAUUUGAUCAGAAUUAUACUAUUGUUUCUGUUGUUUAUGAGUGUUUAUAAUAUGUGUAAUCGACUCGAUUAAGUUCGUCGAUUAGUUGUUUUGUAAAUUCUUAUUGCCAUUAAUGCUGUUUGUAAUACCUUGUUUAUCUGUUUGGAAUUGAUUAUUAUCAUUGAAAUCAGUCAAUUAGUUCUUCCCAAUUAAUUGAUUCUCGUUUAAUAAGCAGAAAGUUUGUCAAUGGUGUGUAUAUGUUGAUUUCUGAACAUUGAG
rnacentral:lncRNA from 1 species